AAGAGCCCAGCUUGAAAAU
rnacentral:snRNA from 1 species